GUUAAGAUGGCAGAGCCAGGUAAUUGCAAAAGAUCUAAGCCCUUUCACCCAGAGGUUCAACUCCUCUUCUUAACU
rnacentral:tRNA from 1 species